GAAAUGCGAUACGUAGUGUGAAUUGCAGAAUUCCGUGAACCAUCGAAUCUUUGAACGCAACUUGCGCCCGAGGCUUCGGCCAAAGGCAUGUCUGCCUCAGCGUCGGCUUACCCCCUCGCCCUCCACAUCACCUUCGUGUGUUUGUGUAUGGCGGAACUGACCCUCUCGGGGCCGCCCGUCCUUCGUGAUUGGGCGCCGGGUUGGUUGAAGCACAGAGGUAUGAGCAUGGACCCCGUUCGUAGGGUAAUGGCUUGGUAGGUAGGCAAUUCCUACGCAUCCUGCCGUUGCCCGAGGGGACUUUGCUGGAGACCUAGCAGGAAUUCGGCUAGUCGGGCAUCCCCCGACACCGGAACUCUUCAUUUCGACCUGAGCUCAGGCAAGACUACCCGCUGAACUUAA
rnacentral:misc_RNA from 1 species